rnacentral:rRNA from 1 species
GACGAACGCUGGCGGCGUGCUUAACACAUGCAAGUCGAACGGCAAGGCCCUGCUUUUGUGGGGUGCCCGAGUGGCGAACGGGUGAGUAACACGUGAGUAACCUGCCCUUGACUUUGGGAUAACUUCAGGAAACUGGGGCUAAUACCGGAUAGGAGCCCCUGCUGCAUGGAGGGGGUUGGAAAGUUUCGGCGGUUGGGGAUGGACGCGCGGGUUAUCAGCUUGUUGGUGGGGUAGUGGCUUACCAAGGCUGUGGCGGGUAGCCGGCCUGGGAGGGUGACCGGCCACAUUGGGACUGAGAUACGGCCCAGACUCGUACGGGAGGCAGCAGUGGGGAAUAUUGCACAAUGGGCGGAAGCCUGAUGCAGCAGCGCCGCGUGCGGGAUGACGGCCUUCGGGUUGUAAACCGCUUUCGCCUGUGACGAAGCGUGAGUGACGGUAAUGGGUAAAGAAGCACCGGCUAACUACGUG